rnacentral:rRNA from 1 species
GAUCGAAUUAUUGUUUAUUAUAUUCAGCAUAUUAAGUAAUCCUAUAAUUUUAGGUAAUCGUUUAGAUAUUAAUGAGAUACUUAUUAUAAUAUAAUGAUAAUUCUAAUCUUAUAAAUAAUAAUUAAUUAAUUAAUUAAUUAAUUAUUAAUACUUAAUAGAUAUAAUUUCUUAAGUAAUAUAUAAUAUAUUAUAUUAUUAUAUGUAUUAUAUAUAUAUAUAAGAGACAAUCUCUAAUUGGUAGUUUUGAUGGGGCGUCAUUAUCAGCAAAAGUAUCUGAAUAAGUCCAUAAAUAAAUAUAUAAAAUUAUUGAAUAAGAAUAAUAUAUAUUAUAUAUAUUAAUUAUAAAUUGAAAUAUAUUUAUAUUUUUAAUGAAUAUAUUUUAGUAAUAGAUAAAAAUAUGUACAGUAAAAUUGUAAGGAAAACAAUAAUAACUUUCUAUUUAUUAAUUUAUAAAAAAAGUAUAGAAAGAAUUAGAUUAAUAUAAUGGUAUAACUGUGCGAUAAUUGUAACACAAACGAGUGAAACAAGUACGUAAGUAUGGCAUAAUGAACAAAUAACACUGAUUGUAAAGGUUAUUGAUAACGAAUAAAAGUUACGCUAGGGAUAACAGGGUAAUAUAACGAAAGAGUAGAUAUUGUAAGUUAUGUUUGCCACCUCGAUU